AAAGCUGAAGAAAUAUGAGUAAACAUCCACUAAAUGAAUAAGGAAACAUGUGACUCAUGACAUAUAGUAUAACAUAAACAGGUUCAGCAAAUACUACUGGUUAAAAGUCCAUUAGGAAACACGUGCAACAAAGAAAUACAGAAACGCAAGUCAUCUCACAGAGAACUCAACCACGGAAAAUUUCCAAUCUUAAGUACUUGCGCAGUCAGAUACAGAAUAAUGGAAUCUCAGUUUAGCUACCUACGUAUAAAUCCGUAGAUAUGGGAGGAAACUUUUCUACAAAGUAAUCUUGUGAAAUAAGCUCCAGAAGCUGCCUAAACUCCAUCAUGACUUGGAUGGUUCUCCGAAUCCAGAAUUAAUGGCUUCUAAUGCAUCUGACAUGGUAGAUACAGCUGAAUUAGUUCACUCUUGCUCACGUCAUUAACACAUAUUGGAAAGGAAGACUGCAAAAUCUAAACGAGAAUGGAGAAACUAAUUACCAACAGGGAAAAAGAAGAAAUAUUCCAUGGAUAGGCAAAAUCUCUGUCGAUCAUACAUGUAUGACAAACAGAAGUAACAGCUACAUGUUGCUGGUUGAAUCCACCCUCAGCGUAAAUAAAGAUACACAAGACAUGCAGAAUAGUUUCAAUGCUAUGUUUGUCAUGAGGUUUCUAACUACGAUUGACAAACAUAAACAGAGGAUGAGCACCAAUGAAUUUUUCCUGAGUUGCGUAGAAAACUGGCCUUUAAAGAUAAUAAUGGAGAGAGUAUCAUUACAUAACUGAUUUAUAUUCCAGUUUUUCCUCUCCAACUAGGCAGCUUGGCCAUAAACUGCGGAAAUAACAAAAUAAAUGAAAAGAUAUAUUUUAUAUAGUUAUGGAACCAGAACCUAACGAAAUGACCAAUUCACCGAGCUAGGGUGUUUACGGGAGCAAGUACAUUAUUGAAAAAAUUAGUUCAUCUCUAAUCUCUAGAAUAUAGUACUUUCAGCUUCACUAACAUGUUAUAAUAAACUAUAAGAGCAAUGCCUAGGAAGAGAAUACUAAACACAGGAGCAUAAAAAAUGACCAGGUAUGCAAUACUACCAGAUCCUUCACAUAUAUAUAUACUUCUACUGGAACCUGGUUUCAAUCAUGCAGUUUGUUGUUUAUCGCAUUGACUAUGAACAUCGAGGCAACACUUGCACAUUGAUCAAUCACAGUAUGAUGCAUACCCUACUCCCGAUAUCUCUCCGCCGCUCUUUCCUUGUUAAUGUUCAUAUUUGGUGUGUGUUUAGCACGACAUCUCGCUACCCCUCUCAUACAAAUGAGCAAAGAAUGCAAGAACAGGGCAUGCACACGUGACAAUUCACGAGCAAAUUCGCCAUAAAUCGUCCGGAAAACCAGAUCGAAGCAGGUACGGUUUGACGUUAGGGUUGGACCGAGCCUCACCUGCUUGAGCGACGAACACGACGGCGGCCAGCUCCGG
rnacentral:lncRNA from 1 species